rnacentral:rRNA from 1 species
UACGUAGGUGGCAAGCGUUGUCCGGAUUUACUGGGCGUAAAGAGCGCGCAGGCGGUCGUUCAAGUCGCGUGUGAAAGCCCCCGGCUCAACUGGGGAGGGUCACGCGAUACUGAUCGACUCGAAGGCAGGAGAGGGAAGUGGAAUUCCCGGUGUAGUGGUGAAAUGCGUAGAUAUCGGGAGGAACACCAGUGGCGAAGGCGGCUACCUGGCCCAUUCUUGACGCUGAGGCGCGAAAGCUAGGGGAGCGAACGGG